AGAGUUUGAUCAUGGCUCAGAACGAACGCUGGCGGCAUGCCUAACACAUGCAAGUCGAACGCACCGCAAGGUGAGUGGCGCACGGGUGAGUAACGCGUGGGAAUCUGCCCUUGGGUUCGGGAUAACAGUUGGAAACGACUGCUAAUACCGGAUGAUGACUUCGGUCCAAAGAUUUAUCGCCCAGGGAUGAGCCCGCGUCGGAUUAGCUAGUUGGUGGGGUAAAAGCUCACCAAGGCGACGAUCCGUAGCUGGUCUGAGAGGAUGAUCAGCCACACUGGGACCGAGACACGGCCCAGACUCCUACGGGAGGCAGCAGUGGGGAAUAUUGGACAAUGGGCGAAAGCCUGAUCCAGCAAUGCCGCGUGAGUGAUGAAGGCCUUAGGGUUGUAAAGCUCUUUUACCCGGGAUGAUAAUGACAGUACCGGGAGAAUAAGCCCCGGCUAACUCCGUGCCAGCAGCCGCGGUAAUAC
rnacentral:rRNA from 1 species